GGUACCAAAUUUGAUGCCCAUAUCGUAUUUCCAUGGAAAACUUGUUUUUAGGGCUUCAAACCCCAUUCUAGACCCACCUGAAUGCAAUGCUUCUUGUAUCUGUCAGCACAAUGAAAUGUAACACGGCUUAUAUGGUUUAUGUGGAUUCUUGUGCUCCUUCACUGUGACCAUUUUCAUUGGGGGUAAAUGGCCCAUAAGAUUAUGAGUCACACUGUGGUUUGUGAUAAUAUCAUUACUUGCAUAUUCUUCUAGCAGUAUUAGUGACCCUUUAAGUACGCCAUAUUAGUUUGUCCCUUAGCAUUUUGGUCUGUUGAUGUAUAUUUCUUUUAAGACUUUAGGCACAAGCAGGUGAUGUUGGAGGCGUACGAUCAACAAUCCGAUGAAUCUGCUAAGAUUUUUGCAGAGUACCAAAGACGUCUACAUCAAUAUGUUAACCAAGCUAGGGAUGUUCGAAGGUUAAGUACAGGAAGCUGUGAUGCUGAUGUAGUUGAUGAUCUCCAUAUUCUUGGUGAAAAAGAAGCUGUUUACUCAACUGUUAAGGGAAACAAGAUAUCUGAUGAUAUUAUUCUCAUUGAGAACUUAAGCGAAAGAAAUAUUUGCAUGGGCAUGUGAAACUCUAGCUGCACAGAUGAUUGAAAGAAUAAGAGGUACUUUUCCCGCUUAUGAAGGAAGUGGUAUCAACUUGAAUUCUCAGUUAGAAGCAGCUAAUUAGGUAUUGAGUUGGAUAAUGAAUAACCGGAGGAUGUUAAAGUGGUAGCAAUUGAUGCUCUACGAAAUCCAUGCCUUUUACUCCAGUCAAUGUCUUUGCGUGCUUCACGGGUUAGUUCACUUAUCUACAGAGAAUCUGAAAAGAUGGAUAUCAGAGCUGGUGCAGAACUUUUAAGAUGCGAGCUCACCCUUACACGUAUCAAGUGUAUGGUAAUGGGAAGGCAGGGGCAGAUCUCUCUACAAAGGGAGCAUACAAUCAGCUUCUUGAAAGACAGGUAACUAAUUUUUCUUGCAACCACCAUUGGUUUUCUGCAAUAUUUUCUGCAAAGCUGAGAAGUUCUCUGUGGUUUAUGUCUCUUUAUAAAGCUAGAUUUGAUUAGUUCAUGAAAGGUGAGAAUUACCUAAUCCAGAGAAAGAGAAGAAGAAUGCUACAGUCUGCACUAUGAGCAGAAACAAUAUCAAUGCAUGAGUAGUUCUGAGAGGAAUAACAGAUAGGCUGAACUGUGACUGUAAGAAGUUUGGCUUUAACAGCCGAUCAUUGUCAAGUCGUUAGAUGAUUGGCUUUUAAGACUGUUCCAAAAUGUCCUGUCAAACCAUUUGCUUUUGAACAACAACUGCAGUUCAUGAUCUUC